GGGAGAGGCAGCCCCUGGACCUUGCCCAGCGGAGCAGAAGGCGACACCUGAUGCCUAACCAUCUGUACGGGCAGAGGCAGGGGCUGGAGGGAGGGAGGUCGGCACACUAAGCUUUGACCCGGACCCUGGUCUCUGUCCUUUGCCCCUUCCUCAGCCCCAGACUCUGGGCAGGAAGAGGAGGCAGGAGAAGGGAGAGGACAUUCAGACUGGGUGGCGAGGAAGACAGGUCUGGAGGAUUCAGCUUGGGUGGCAGAGGUCCAGCGCCCGUAGAGGUCAGAGGGCGGCCCAACGCCUUCAGGACCGGACCGGAUGCGGCAAGAGCCGAGUUCCUGCUGCUGCUUAUGAGGAUUUGGACCUGGGGCGGACAAAUGGAAAGGUUUUCCGGCUGACUCUCAGCAGGGUGAGGCCAGGCUCUGAAGCCAGACUGCCAGGGUCCCAGCCCAGCGCGGCCACAGACUGGCAGAGGGACGAGCAGGUGACUACACUCGCGGGCCUCCCUUUCCUCAGCUGUGAAAUGGGUGGGAGGCGGGACUCCAAGAACGCGCCUCCAAAGGCAGGACCAACACCCCACCCAGCCUGUCCCCCUAUGGAAUGUUCUGGAACUUCUGUGCGGAACAGAUCUAUGUGGGCCAAGCUGUUCCUUGAAGGGCCAGCCACACUCUCAUCUUAGGGCUUUUGCACCAGAACCGUGGACUACUCUUCCCUCAGAUAUUCACAAGUGGGUGCCCACAGGUCACCGCCUCAGGGGUCUCUUCUGACCACCGUCUCUUCCUCGGGCAUUUCUGACUGCCCUGCUCCUGCUCCACUGUUCUUUUGGACAUGGCUUUGCACUUGGUAACACACAAGAUACUUGGUUUGUCCACGUGGUUUAUUAGUCCCACCGUGUUUUCUAGAACCUAAGAUCCACGAAGGCAGGAAAGGUGGGGUGUUAUUCACUGAGGGGUCCCAGGUGUCUGGGCUGUGUCCUGGCCCCUAGGAGGCCCCCAGGUAAAUACCCACUGAAUGGGUGAAUCGAUUCUGUACUCAGCAUGAGUGGCGAUAGAGGCAUUUUCAGGUAAAUGAAAAUUCAGGCAGAACUUUCUAAAAUGAACUUUCAAGUGGGUGCUCGAGGCAUGAAAAUGAUCCCUGGUGAAAAGACGGAGAUGCAAAAAGGAAUGAGGAGCAAAAAGAAUGGUAAAUGUGGGGGCAAAAAAAAAAGAAAUUGCCCAUAUAAAAUAUAACAAUGUCUAAUGCGUGUGCGGGAAACAGCUUAGCACUAAAAUGCUGGUCAAAACUAGCAGGAGUGUUGGAAGGGGAGUGAUUUCAGUUAAAGAGCUCUAGCAUUCUCAUAUUUGUCGGAGGAAGAAAUAUGUUAACUUUAGAACUUACUAAAUAUGCAUGUUAACAUCCCUGGCGUGGCUAAAAGAACAGCUGUGCAAUGUGUUACUUGAACAAAUAGGGACAAAGUAGGAAAAUAAAAUGAAAAAAAAAAGAGGGUGGAACUCCCCU
ensembl:lncRNA